AACGCGAAGAACCUUACCAGGUCUUGACAUCCCUCUGACAGGUACGUAACGGUACCCUUACUUCGGUACAGAGGAGACAGGUGGUGCAUGGUUGUCGUCAGCUCGUGUCGUGAGAUGUUGGGUCAAGUCCCGCAACGAGCGCAACCCUUGUGCUUAGUAGCCAGCAGGUAAAGCCGGGCACUCUAAGCAGACUGCCGGGGACAACCCGGAGGAAGGUGGGGAUGACGUCAAAUCAUCAUGCCCCUUAUGAUCUGGGCUACACACGUGCUACAAUGGCGUGAACAAAGGGAAGCGAGAUAGUGAUAUAGAGCGAAUCCCAAAAAUAACGUCCCAGUUCGGAUUGUAGUCUGCAACCCGACUACAUGAAGCUGAAUCGCUAGUAAUCGCGGAUCAGAAUGCCGCGGUGAAUACGUUCCCGGGUCUUGUACACACCG
rnacentral:rRNA from 1 species